rnacentral:rRNA from 1 species
UGGGGAAUAUUGCACAAUGGGCGCAAGCCUGAUGCAGCCAUGCCGCGUGUAUGAAGAAGGCCUUCGGGUUGUAAAGUACUUUCAGUCGGGAGGAAGGUGUCAAGGUUAAUAACCUUGGCAAUUGACGUUACCGACAGAAGAAGCACCGGCUAACUCCGUGCCAGCAGCCGCGGUAAUACGGAGGGUGCAAGCGUUAAUCGGAAUUACUGGGCGUAAAGCGCACGCAGGCGGUCUGUCAAGUCGGAUGUGAAAUCCCCGGGCUCAACCUGAGAACUGCAUUCGAAACUGGCAGGCUAGAGUCUUGUAGAGGGGGGUAGAAUUCCAUGUGUAGCGGUGAAAUGCGUAGAGAUGUGGAGGAAUACCGGUGGCGAAGGCGGCCCCCUGGACAAAGACUGACGCUCAGGUGCGAAAGCGUGGGGAGCAAACAGG